rnacentral:rRNA from 1 species
CUACGGGGCGCAGCAGUGGGGAAUCUUAGACAAUGGGCGCAAGCCUGAUCUAGCCAUGCCGCGUGAGUGACGAAGGCCUUAGGGUCGUAAAGCUCUUUCGCUGGGGAAGAUAAUGACGGUACCCAGUAAAGAAACCCCGGCUAACUCCGUGCCAGCAGCCGCGGUAAUACGGAGGGGGUUAGCGUUGUUCGGAAUUACUGGGCGUAAAGCGCGCGUAGGCGGAUCAGAAAGUUGGGGGUGAAAUCCCGGGGCUCAACCCCGGAACUGCCUUCAAAACUCCUGGUCUUGAGUUCGAGAGAGGUGAGUGGAAUUCCGAGUGUAGAGGUGAAAUUCGUAGAUAUUCGGAGGAACACCAGUGGCGAAGGCGGCUCACUGGCACGAUACUGACGCUGAGGUGCGAAAGCGUGGGGAGCAAACAGGAUUAGAUACCCGGGUAGUC